AGGACGCUGCCCGGCGUGGAGUGGCUGCUCCGCGCGGGGACACUCAGAGCGCGGCGGGCAGGAGGAAGGCGGCAUGCCCCAGACGGUGAUCCUCCCGGGCCCUGCGCCCUGGGGCUUCAGGCUCUCAGGGGGCAUAGACUUCAACCAGCCUUUGGUCAUCACCAGGAUCACACCAGGAAGCAAGGCGGCAGCUGCCAACCUGUGUCCUGGAGAUGUCAUCCUGGCUAUUGACGGCUUUGGGACAGAGUCCAUGACUCAUGCUGAUGCGCAGGACAGGAUUAAAGCAGCAGCUCACCAGCUGUGUCUCAAAAUUGACAGGGGAGAAACUCGCUUAUGGUCUCCACAAGUAUCUGAAGAUGGGAAAGCCCAUCCUUUCAAAAUCAACUUAGAAUCAGAACCACAGGUAUGAAUUUUAGAGCAAAUGAUACACAUUGUAUUUCCUUUUAAAUCAUGGGGAUGCCUUCCAAGGAGAGGAAGAGACAAACAGAAAAAUUGGAACAAGCCACCUAUGAAGCUGUUGUCUGUCAUUCCUCUUCGAGAUUAAUUUAUAUUAUCCAUGUUUUCUUACAUCAAGAAAAAGAAGUGUUCCCAUGUGAACAUCUUGUUGAAAGACAAAAUAUGC
rnacentral:sRNA from 1 species